rnacentral:lncRNA from 1 species
UACUUGAUGGAUGAUAUGAUGAUCCAUGUAUUUAGCUGGACUUUUCCGAUGAUGAUGUAGAUGAUGCUCGAGAAGAUGUAUAUGAUGAAUUCACUCACUAAUGCUCUCUUCUUCUGAAAGCAGUUCUACCAGCUGCAGAUGAGUGAGGGACAAAGCAUGUAGGAGCAUCUCAGCACUUUCAAAAGAUCCUCACUGAUCUCUUCAACGUUGGUGAGAAGGUUGAGGAGAAGAUGAGGACGUUGGUCUUGCUUUCAUCACUUUUUUUUUCUUUUGAGUCUUUGGUGUCUGCUCUUCUUAUAGAAAAAAGCACCAUC